UACUGUUUAAGAAACUGUGGAAUGCAUCAGUAUUUAGUACCAAUAACGUUAUCCAAAAUACCGUGAAGCAAUUUGCAUAAAUACGAUAAAAAGUCAAGGAGUCUUCCUUAUGGUUGAAUUCCAUCACAGAUAGAAAUAAAAAUGGUACUUCAGAUGCAUCCCAACAGACGUAGUAGAUCGCACUUACGAUAAGAUGGUCGUCUUUGUCGGGAACACCAUGCUUGUUACGAAUAUGUCGGCUUCCUCCGAUCAUCUAGCUGCAGAACGAUUUUAUCAACAUUUAGAAAACAAAAAAUCAGUUGAAUAAACAACAACCACUUUCUGAUAAAGAUCUCGGAAUCAUAUGCUAACGGGACACCGUGUACAAGUCGUUCUUUAUAGAUUUCUAUUAAUGGCAAUGCAAAUACCAGUCACUUGAAAAAUAACCGUCACUGAAUAAUCCCACACAACACGGACUUCGUACGUCUUAAUCUCGUGUGUGCAACAAGAUCGAGCGUAAAGGCAGUAAUCUGGAAAAGCAAUUUUGGCCUUCGCGAAAUACUAGAAACUUGUAUCCGCGAACGCUUUAAAUCGCAUUUGGGUCACGUUGAAUAUCGCCUUCGAUUUCGUACUUCAACUCCAUUCAUGACGACUGAGGCCUAGUAAGAUGAUUCAUGCCACAAUUGCCAGCAGCACCCUUGAAAAUCUUACUAAUGAGGAGGCUCGAUAUAAAAAUAUGCAGAGGAACUCUAACGAAGUCUUGAUACGAUGCGAUAAGUUAUCAAAUUUAAUUGCUUUGAUGCAAUAUUACACCGCAAUUUUAUCUUACUGAUAAAUUUUAUCGUCGA